CAAUUUUCUAGCUACUUAUGAAGAAACAGAAGAAAAAGCACUUUUACUGGAACAGAAACCGUAUGCUUACUCAACAGAUAGUGAGAAAAAUACGAAGAAAAAAGCAAUUCAGGAUAAAAAAAGUUUCAAAUUCAAAUUUCUUCCAUUGAAAGAUAGUUUGAUUUUGGAAAAACUGAAUGACAUAAGCUUCGACCUCUGUGAUAAUUUGAUGCCCAUCGAAGUAUCGGAGAAAGAAAAAAGUAAAAAUAUAACUUAAGCAACGAAAACUGAAAUUCCAAGGAAAAAACCAUCUCGACAAAAGCUUUCCGAUCCUAUGGAAAGUUCUGAGAAAGAAUCUAGCGACAAUACUUCAUUGGAGAGUUUGAGCAGUUCUUCUAUCGCAUCACCAAUAAAGCAAAAUUGUCAAAAAAGUUCAGGAAAAUUUGUCGCUAUUAAAAAAAAGAUAUACUCUCUGCGAGCACCAGCAAGUAUUCCGAGGGCUUGAAUUUCUUUCAAACUGAUAUACAUCCUCAAAAAUGUUCAACAACCUUUGGGAAUGCCAAGAAAAAUUUACCUUCGGCUCGUACUAAUCUGUGUUUCGAAGAUCGGCUGUUCCAAUUCUUUGGGGAAAAGCUGAAUUCAUUGAAUUAUAAGAUUGGUCAAAUCCAAGGACAAAUACUUGACCUGUCAGCGGCUAAAAAUUCCAUUCAAAACUCUAUCCAGACAAUCAAACCAACAAAUGAUGAUAUUAUUGAUUGGAAUAAAAACUUCACUGAAGAGGUUCUUGAUUUCUCACUUCCAUGUCGAAAUCAUGAUGAAUUCAAUAAACUCAAUGAAGAGUUAGCAAAGAAUGAGCAGUUUUGGAAAAAACUGAUACGUCAAAUACUACUGUCUAUUAAUAAGAAAACUGGCCUGCGGAGAAACAUGGGUUAAAUAAUUCGAAAAUUCAUGUCACGCGAUUUAGCUCUUUCGUUCAUAACAUUGAAAGCAAUAACUGGCAAACAUGUGUUCAGCGAAUCCAAACUAUACUUGUAUCUUAAAGAUGCAGUUUCAUCAGUUUUCAAAGAGGAAGAUGGUGCGAAUUUAACAGAACCAAUAUUUAAAGAAUCUGUUCGAAUCGAUUUUAACAACGCUAAGGAUUGGGACGGCCAAGGAAAUAUUCGAAAAAAAUGCGCAAAAAACUUGAACGUCACAUUAAAA